GUGCUCGCUUCGGCACCACAUAUUCUAAAAUUGGAACGAUACAGAGAUUAGCAUGGCCCCUGCACAAGGAUGACACGUAAAUUCAUGAAGCGUUCCAUAUUUAA